AGAUUUAUGGGAGAAAAUAACUACAGAUCCCAACCAUGCCCUGCAAGUUUUGCUGCCUCCUAGUCGUCAAUUAGAAUUACGCAAUCGCGGACAUGAGUAUGAACUACCGAGAGUUCGAACAGAAAGGUUUAAAAGAGUGUUCGUUAAUAGAUGUCUUUUUAACUUCAUAUGAUAUUUUUAAAUUAGAAAUUAACUUCUUAGGAACUACAUUAAACAUUAUAAUAAUGGUAUUAUAGC